UACGUAGGGUGCAAGCGUUGUCCGGAAUUAUUGGGCGUAAAGAGCUCGUAGGCGGUCUGUUGCGUCCGCUGUGAAAACUCGGGGCUUAACCCCGAGCCUGCAGUGGAUACGGGCAGACUAGAGGUAGGUAGGGGCAGAGGGAAUUUCCGGUGGAGCGGUGAAAUGCGUAGAGAUCGGAAAGAACACCAACGGCGAAAGCACUCUGCUGGGCCGACACUGACACUGAGAGACGAAAGCUAGGGGAGCGAAUGGG
rnacentral:rRNA from 1 species